UACAGAGGUCUCAAGCGUUGUUCGGAUUCAUUGGGCGUAAAGGGUGCGUAGGCGGCGCGGUAGGUCGGGUGUGAAAUUUCGAGGCUUAACUUCGAAACUGCAUUCGAUACUGCCGUUCUUGAGGAUUGCAGAGGAGACUGGAAUUCCCGGUGUAGCGGUGAAAUGUGUAGAGAUCGGGAGGAACACCGGUGGCGAAGGCGGGUCUCUGGGCAAUUACUGACGCUGAGGCGCGAAAGCAUGGGGAGCGAACAGG
rnacentral:rRNA from 1 species